CCUACGGGGGGCAGCAGUGGGGAAUAUUGCACAAUGGGGGAAACCCUGAUGCAGCGACGCCGCGUGAGUGAAGAAGUAUUUCGGUAUGUAAAGCUCUAUCAGCAGGGAAGAUAAUGACGGUACCUGACUAAGAAGCCCCGGCUAACUACGUGCCAGCAGCCGCGGUAAUACGUAGGGGGCAAGCGUUAUCCGGAUUUACUGGGUGUAAAGGGAGCGUAGACGGCAUGGCAAGUCAGAAGUGAAAGCCCGGGGCUCAACCCCGGUACUGCUUUUGAAACUGUCUGGCUAGAGUGCAGGAGAGGUAAGCGGAAUUCCUAGUGUAGCGGUGAAAUGCGUAGAUAUUAGGAGGAACACCAGUGGCGAAGGCGGCUUACUGGACUGUAACUGACACUGAGGCACGAAAGCGUGGGGAGCAAACAGGAUUAGAUACCCUUGUAGU
rnacentral:rRNA from 1 species